UAGGGGCGGGGACACAGAGAUUUGGGAUACAGUUGCAGCGGCUCCUCCGGACAAUCAUUCUUCUGCACACAUCGAUCCGUUCCUCAUCCAGCAUGAUCCUCCGGAGCACCCCCGUUCUGCUGCUGCUGGCCGCCUCCCUGUGCCGGGCUCUGGAAGAGCCCAAGAGCAAGUCCAGGGUGUGCGCCAAUGUGUUCUGCGGAGCUGGCCGGGAGUGCGCCAUGACCGAGAAGGGAGACCCCACCUGUCUGUGUAUUGAGGUGAGAUGAUAGACAUCCGA